GACUCAUUUACAUGAUAGCUCAUUGCUUUUAUACAGGUUAUUAAGAUAUGAUUGACAAAAAACCCAUAUAUUCACAGUGUACAAAUUUUGAGUUACAUAUGUUAUGAAUAUAUGUAUUCAUAACAAUCAAGCUAACAUAUCUAUGACUUCAGUUAGCUACCACUUACAUGUAAGAGUGGUGAGAACCCAUGAAUCUACUCUCUUACAAAUUUCAAGCAUAUAAUUUCUCCUACUGAGUUGCUUAGAACCUCACUAACUUGCUACAGCUGGCUCUGAAUUCACAUCCUCCUGCCUAGGCAACAUGCUAACCAUUAGGUCUCCAGAGCCUAUUCAUCUUGUAACUAAAAGUUUCUAGCCAUUGACCAAUAGCUCCCAUUUUCCCCAACCCCUAAUAGCCCACUCUUCCACUCCCUGUUACCAUGAGUUCACCUUUCUUAAAUCCACAUAUAAGAGAGAUGAUGCAAUAUCUUUCUGUCUUAAUUUAACUAGCAUAAUGUCCUUCAAGUUCAUCCAUGUUGUGACAAGUAACAGGAUUUCAUUAGAGAAUGAAAACUAGACUGACGUAUAUGUCUCUUUCUUCAUCCCAAUAUAUAUAUAUAUAUAUUUUUUUUUUUCGGGGAUUGAACCCAGGGCACUUAACCACUGAACCAUAUUCCCAUCCCUUUUUUAUGUUUUAUUUAGAGACAGGGUCUUGCUGACUUGCUUAGGACCUUACUAACUUACUACAGCUGGCUCUGAAUUCAUAUCCUCCUGCCUGAGCCUCCAGACCCACUGGGAUUACAGGCAAAUGCCACAGUGCCCAGCUUUUAUCCCAAUUUUUGAUACCUGAAAAAGAUAAUCUCCAGGUUUAGGCUAGUAGAGCAUCACCCCUCACCUGAAGGUAAUAAUACCACAAAUAGGCACAGUGACCAGAGGGGGUCAACUCAUAUCCCAGAAAGAGGUAUGGCUCUGAACUCCUUCUCAGUGAUACAUUCCAAUGACUUAGUGAAUUUACAUAGCAUUUUUUUCACACCUAACUAGCUUCCUAUUGGCACCUCACCAUUCUUAUACUAUUUUUACUGGACAUUCAUUGGUUAAAACUCAGCAAAUGCCAUCAAUUGAUAUUGUUUUGUCAAAGCAUAUUCAAAUCAAUACUAAAAUAUAAAAUAUAAUUAAAUAACACUUGAGCAAGUUCUAGACCACCUGUGACUUGCCUAUGCCAACCCAACCCUCCACCAUCAUAAGAAGCAGAAGUCCAUUAUAAAACAUUCUACUCAAUUCUCUAUAAAAAUAAAACAUAAAAAUAGACCCAGACACUUCCUGAGAGGUUAACAACACAUCUAGCCCAGCAGAGGAAGAGAAGUGGCUGGAGCUCCCUGGGGUAUCUUAACUAAAACCACACAGGAAGUCUCACUGAGCGCUCACUUACUGUAAACCACCACGAGACCAGCAGAG
rnacentral:lncRNA from 1 species